rfam:Pteropus alecto contig30486, whole genome shotgun sequence.
GUCUACAGCCAUGCCACCCUGAACAAGCCCUAUGUCUGAUCUCGGAAGCUAAGGAGGGUAGGGCCUGGUUAGUACUUGGAUGGGAGACCACCUAGGAAGACCAGAUGCUGUAGGCA